UAAACCUCCCCAUCCCCUGCCAUUUUCCUCUGUUCCUCCGUCCGAAACAGAGCACGGCAACAGCAGACACCCGGAAGAGGGAGAAAGAUGGUUGGAGAUUUCAUGGUGUGCAUGGACAGGAUCAUCUCCUCUGCUUGCUUAGAGGCUGGUAAUGGCGGUGGUGGGUACGGUGCUCCAACGGUCGAUGUUGGUCGGGGCGAGGAGGGGUCUUCCGAGAAGAAGGCUCAGUCUAAGAAGAAGAAGAAGGGUGGAGAUGUUAUAGAGUGCAGGAUAUGCCAAGAAGAAGGGGAGGAGAGCGAGAUGGAAGCCCCUUGCGCUUGUAAUGGCACCCUCAAGUUUGCCCAUAGGAAAUGUAUUCAGAGAUGGUGCAAUAAAAAGGGGGAUAUCACUUGUGAAAUCUGCAACCAGGUUUACUCGCCCGAUUAUUCCCUGCCCCCAAAAAGAGCUUGUUCUGAUGCAAUGGCCAUUGAUAUCAGACAAAGUUGGGGCACACGGAUUGAUCUUCAUGAUUCCCAUUUUCUAGCCAUUGCUGCUGCAGAGCAAGAGUUGCUACGUGUGGAAUAUGAAGAUUAUGCAGCUGCAAAUACCAGUGGCAUUGCCUGUUGCCGCUCUGUUGCGCUCAUUUUGAUGCUACUGUUGCUUGUUCGUCAUAUUCACAUGGUCACAAGGGAUGUUGGAAUGGUGCAGGAUGUAUCAGCCUUCUUCAACGCAUGUCUUCAGUUUGCUGGCCUUUUUCUUCCAUCUAUGUGAUAGCACGUUCAUGCUGCCUUAUACAGAGCCGCAGGAGGCGACAGGUCUAAGAGCCCAUGGAAGCCUUUAGAUUUUACUCUAGCAGAAAGGGAGACAGCUUGUAGUUUCCCAACUGCAAAACUUUUGGGGUGUUAAUGCUUUCCCUGGUUUGGUGCUGAGUCCCUGCUAAGAUUGGCCACUUUCCUUAUGUACAAAAAUGAAUGGGAAUUGAAUUCCUGAGAAAUGGUGAUAGUUACCCAAAAAAUUCUGCUUCGGGAAAUGUGUAUAUGAAAUGGCUUCUCAGUGGUUUGUGGUAG